rnacentral:rRNA from 1 species
AACGAACGCUGGCGGCAGGUCUUAGGCAUGCAAGUCGAACGGGUGUAGUAAUACACCAGUGGCGAACGAGUGAGUAACGCGUGGGAAUCUGCCCAUCUCUGGGGAAUAACGUUUGGAAACGAACGCUAAUACCGCAUACGCCCGCAAGGGGAAAGAUUUAUCGGAGAUGGAUGAGCCCGCGUUGGAUUAGUUAGUUGGUGGGGUAAAGGCCUACCAAGGCGACGAUCUGUAGCGGGUCUGAGAGGAUGAUCCGCCACACUGGGACUGAGACACGGCCCAGACUCCUACGGGAGGCAGCAGUGGGGAAUAUUGGACAAUGGGCGCAAGCCUGAUCCAGCCAUGCCGCGUGUGUGAAGAAGGCCUUUUGGUUGUAAAGCACUUUAAGCGAGGAGGAGGCUACUUGGAUUAAUACUCUAGGAUAGUGGACGUUACUCGCAGAAUAAGCACCGGCUAACUCUGUGCCAGCCGCCGCCGUAA